rnacentral:rRNA from 1 species
AUUGAACGCUGGAGGCAGGCAUAACACAUGCAAGUCGAACGAGUGGCGGACGGGUGAGUAAUGUCUGGGAAAAUGCCCGAUGGAGGGGGAUAACUACUGGAAACGGUGGCUAAUACCGCAUACCAUCGGAUUUGCCCAGAGGGGAUUAGCUAGUAGGUGGGGUAAAGGCUCACCUAGGCGACGAUCCCUAGCUGGUCUUAGAGGAUGACCAGCCACACGGGCACUGAGACACGGUCUCGAUUCGUACGCGAGGCCGCAGUGGUAAAUAUUGCAGAAUGGGCGAAAGCGUGGUGCGACGAUUCCGCGUGAAUGAUGACGGCCUGCGGGUUGUAGAGUACUGUCAGCAGCGAGGCGUUAGCGACAGAAGAAGCACCGGCUAGCUCCGUGCCAGCAGCCGCGGUAAUUC